AUUGAACGCUGGCGGAAUGCUUUACACAUGCAAGUCGAACGGCAGCAUAGGUGCUUGCACCUGAUGGCGAGUGGCGAACGGGUGAGUAAUACAUCGGGACGUGCCCAGUCGUGGGGGAUAACGUAGCGAAAGUUACGCUAAUACCGCAUACGAUCUAAGGAUGAAAGCGGGGGACCGUAAGGCCUCGCGCGAUUGGAGCGGCCGAUGUCAGAUUAGGUAGUUGGGUAGGUAAAGGCUCACCAAGCCGACGAUCUGUGGCUGGUCUGAGAGGACGACCAGCCACACUGGGACUGAGACACGGCCCAGACUCCUACGGGAGGCAGCAGUGGGGAAUUUUGGACAAUGGACGCAAGUCUGAUCCAGCCAUUCCGCGUGCAGGACGAAGGCCUUCGGGUUGUAAACUGCUUUUGUACGGAACGAAAAAGCUCUUACUAAUACUAGGAGUCCAUGACGGUACCGUAAGAAUAAGCACCGGCUAACUACGUGCCAGCCGCCGCCGUAA
rnacentral:rRNA from 1 species